UACGGGUUGUGAGAGCAAGAGCCCGGAGAUGGAUUCUGAGACACGAAUCCAGGCCCUACGGGGCGCAGCAGGCGCGAAAACUUUACAAUGCGAGAAAUCGUGAUAAGGGAACCCCGAGUGCCCGUAAAUUCGGGCUGUCCGCCAGUGCAAAAAACUGGUGAAGAAAGAGCCGGGCAAGACCGGUGCCAGCCGCCGCGGUAAUACCGGCGGCUCGAGUGGUGGCCACUAUUACUGGGCUUAAAGCGUCCGUAGCUUGGUUGUUAAGUCUCCUGGGAAAUCCAUCGGCUCAACCGAUGGGCGUUCAGGAGAUACUGGCAACCUAGGGACCGGGAGAGGUGAGAGGUACUCCAGGGGUAGGAGUGAAAUCCUGUAAUCCUUGGGGGACCACCUGUGGCGAAGGCGUCUCACUAGAACGGCUCCGACAGUGAGGGACGAAAGCUGGGGGAGCAAACCGGAUUAGAUACCCGGGUAGUCCCAGCUGUAAACGAUGCGCGUUAGGUGUAUCGGUGACCACGAGUCACCGAGGUGCCGAAGGGAAACCGUGAAACGUGCCGCCUGGGAAGUACGGUCGCAAGGCUGAAACUUAAAGGAAUUGGCGGGGGAGAAGGGCGAAUCG
rnacentral:rRNA from 1 species